rnacentral:rRNA from 1 species
GCCUGCCCAGUGAUAUAUAUUUAACGGCCGCGGAAUCCUAACCGCGCGAAGGUAGCAUAAUCACUUGUUUUCUCAAUAAAGACUAGUAUCAACGGCAUCACGAGGGUUAAACUGUCUCCCCCCUCCAAUCAGUGAAACUGAUCUCCCCGUGAAGAAGCGGGGAUAAGACUAUAAGACGAGAAGACCCUAUGGAGCUUCAGGCCCAACUGGCAAUUUAUCAAACAAACCCACGUACAAAAUAAAAACUGCCCGUCCGCCUUCGGUUGGGGCGACCACGGGGUAAAACAAAACCUCCACAACAAAUAGGACUAUACCUUAAUUCAAGAGCCACCGCUCUAAAAAUAGAUAAAUCAAUGUAAAAUGACCCGAUAAUCGAUCAAUGAACCAAGUUACCCUAGGGAUAACAGCGCAAUCCAUUUUAAGAGCCCAUAUCAACAAAUGGGUUUACGACCUCGAUGUUGGAUCAGGGUAUCCCAGUAGUGCAACCGCUACUAACGGUUCGUUUGUUCAACGAUUAAAACCCUAC